UGGCUCCUUCUUCACACCAUUAGUGUAAUACGUUUACUGAGUCACUCGACAUUACUGGAGUGCCACGUAAACGUCAGGGGGUGCUUGAUAUUCCGGUUGUGACAGAUGUUUGAUAAAUAAUUUAAAAUGAAACUAGUGUGUUAUUGCAGCGACAGACAGAGUGUAACAUGUUGAACAUAAAACUUCAUUGUUCCGAUUUAGUUAAGUCACGUUACCGACAGACGGAAUGACGUUCAGCGCGCAAUGAGAUUUGAGCGCUGGAGUGUGAACGACGAAUGCUGAAUGACCGUACUGUGUAAGACUGGUGACACGAGGACUUGCAACUUAAUGUAUGUGGAUCUACGUGUACGAGUACAUACAAUUUCUGCAGAUUGCAGAAAAGAGAAGGAAACUACUUCUUACAACGAAAGGGAUGCCCAAAAUAGCAAGUCCAAGUAGAGCAGACGGAGCUACACAUUCUGUAACGACGACAAGAGUUGUGGAAAUCAUGUGGCAGCAGCCCACAGCAGUAGCUGUGUCCAGGUGGUUUCAGUCGCAACGGUUACCUACACAUUCAUCGUUAUGAUGAGAUCUCUCGCUUCGCGGCCUGUUGCUGAGCGAUCGAGAGCGUACGAUUGAUCUUCAGUGACCCCGGCAGGGCUGAAGGUUCUCCGCCCGCUCCGAGGCGUCAUUGUCACGGUUGUGUGACGAAUUGUUAGGCGGCUCAUGGAAGAGCGAACGGCAGUCGUUCGCCAUUUUCGGUACGGAACCCUCAGAGUGCGAGUACUACGUGCAUUUGAUUUGUUUUUUUAAAGAAUCUCUAGCGAUAAAAGGAAACUGUCAUCACUGCAAAGGAAGAAGACUAAAAGAGGAAGCCGAAAAGCAAAAAGAAUUGUGGUCAGAAUUUUACGAAACGCCAAAAUAAAUUUUCUUAGUAAGAUAAGGUCAACCUAAAUCAUUGCCUAAUUACAAAUUUUCUUUCAAUGCUACUGGUCGACAUUUUUUAAUAAAGUCAUGGAC